GGGGCUAUAGCUCAGCUGGGAGAGCGCUUGCAUGGCAUGCAAGAGGUCAGCGGUUGGCUAUAGCUCAGCUGGGAGAGCGCUUGCAUGGCAUGCAAGAGGUCAGCGGUUCGAUCCCGCUUAGCUCCACCA
rnacentral:tRNA from 1 species